rnacentral:tRNA from 1 species
AUUUAUGUAGUUUAAGAAAACAUUACAUUUUCACUGUAAAGAUAAAGAUUAACUUUUAUAAAUA